rnacentral:rRNA from 1 species
GCUGGGUUGCUGAGAAAGUUGAACAAACUUGGUCAUUUAGAGGAAGUAAAAGUCGUAACAAGGCUUUCCGUAGGAUGAACCUGCGGAAGGAUCAUUA